GGAGCGGUAGUUCAGUUGGUUAGAACGCCGGCCUGUCACGCCGGAGGUCGCGGGUUCGAGCCCCGUCCGCUCCGCCA
rnacentral:tRNA from 1 species